AGUGAACGCUGGCGGUAGGCCUAACACAUGCAAGUCGAACGGCAGCACAGUAAGAGCUUGCUCUUACGGGUGGCGAGUGGCGGACGGGUGAGGAAUACAUCGGAAUCUACUUUUUCGUGGGGGAUAACGUAGGGAAACUUACGCUAAUACCGCAUACGACCUACGGGUGAAAGCAGGGGAUCUUCGGACCUUGCGCGAUUGAAUGAGCCGAUGUCGGAUUAGCUAGUUGGCGGGGUAAAGGCCCACCAAGGCGACGAUCCGUAGCUGGUCUGAGAGGAUGAUCAGCCACACUGGAACUGAGACACGGUCCAGACUCCUACGGGAGGCAGCAGUGUGGAAUAUUGGACAAUGGGCGCAAGCCUGAUCCAGCCAUACCGCGUGGGUGAAGAAGGCCUUCGGGUUGUAAAGCCCUUUUGUUGGGAAAGAAAAGCAGCAGGUUAAUACCCCGCUGUUCUGACGGUACCCUAAGAAUAAGCACCGGCUAACUUCGUG
rnacentral:rRNA from 1 species